rnacentral:rRNA from 1 species
GACGAAGGGGGCUAGCGUUGUUCGGAAUUACUGGGCGUAAAGCGCGUGUAGGCGGUUGUUCAAGUCGGGUGUGAAAGCCUUGAGCUCAACUCAAGAAAUGCACUCGAUACUGGAUGACUAGAGGACCGGAGAGGAUAGUGGAAUUCCCAGUGUAGUGGUGAAAUACGUAGAGAUUGGGAAGAACACCAGUGGCGAAGGCGGCUAUCUGGACGGUUUCUGACGCUAAGACGCGAAGGCGUGGGGAGCAAACAGG